UACAGAGGGUGCGAGCGUUAAUCGGAAUGACUGGGCGUAAAGGGCGUGUAGGCGGUUCAUCAAGUUAGCUGUGAAAGGCCAAGGCUUAACCUUGGGAAGCCAGCUAAGACUGAAGAGCUAGAGUGCAGUAGAGGGUAGUGGAAUUUCCGGUGUAGCGGUGAAAUGCGUAGAGAUCGGAAAGAACAUCAGUGGCGAAGGCGACUAUCUGGACUGAAACUGACGCUGAGGCGCGAGAGCGUGGGGAGCAAACAGG
rnacentral:rRNA from 1 species